ensembl:lncRNA
GUGAUUAUCAUCACUGCAGAGGCUUUGCUUUUACUCCUGAUAGGACUUCCAUUGAUUAUAGUGGCUGUAUGGAAGAAAACGAAGAAUAAAGGUCUGCUGUCGUCCUCCGUCGAAGAGUUUAAUUCAGUGAUUUAUGAACAGUCAGGGUUUCAUCUCUUGCUCAGCAUUUUGAUGAUGAUGAUGAAGAAGACUGUGACUGCAGUGAUUUACAGUAUUUUGAUGUUGAUCUCCAGCAGCUGAUCAAAGACGCUGGACGUCAGUGUAAUCCAGAGGACAGAGACACAGAAACAACUGUAGUUUACAGCUGUGCUUCCUGAACUUGUGUCAUAUGUGACUCUACAGACCCGUCAGUGAGACUCGAGCAUCUCUCCAUCAACUCCACAACACAAACCAGUUCAGUUCAACUAAUAUAAUAUAACAUCAUAUAUCAUAUGAUACUAAAUAUGUACAGUUUAGCAUCAUGGUGCAUGAUUUUGCAGUGGGCAGAAUUCAGUAAGGAGACAGCUGUUCCUGAGUCUGCUGGUCCUUGUCUGGAGGCUCCUGAAGGGUCAGGAGGUUAAACAGUCUAUGGUCAGGGUGAGAGGAGUCCUUGAGAAUGCUGCGAGCUCAAGUUCAGCGGUCAGCUUGGACGGAAUGAAAGUGUUAAAUGCUGAGCUUAAGUCAACAAACAACAUCCGUACAUAUGUGUUGUUAUUGUCCAAGUGUGUGAGUACCGAGUGCAGCACUGUUCAUACUGCAUCCUCUGUGCUCCUAUUGCUACGGUAGGCAAGUUGGUGUGGGUCCAGUGUGGGUGGGAUUCACGAUGUAACUGAAAAUCAGUCAUAACUGAGUUCAUUUUGUUGGCUUUGCUCACAGUAAUUGUUGUUACAAUUUUUAAUUGUAUGUUUACAGCUAAAAUGCAUAAAUAUGAAUCAUUUGAAUGUACCAAUUUCUGAAGCUGAGUCUCAUAAGUUGCAAUCUGCAGCUUAAUGGACAAAUUAAACCAUGCUAUUCUGGAACUGCAUUUUGAUAUUGAUUUUAUUUUAUUUAUGUGUGGUGUAUGUAGCAUUUCCUUGUCGUAUGUUGAGCUCAAGGUUUGUGUGGUUGGUUUGAUCUGUUCAGUUCUGCUGGUAGAUGCUGUAACUGCACCGAUCUGCUGCCAAAGAACAUCUUUCUACAUUUACUGACAUUCAAAAGUAGCUUUAUAGUCUGAUAAGUCCUUGCAAGCAACUUAUAACGGAGGCUCCUAAAAGCAAAAAGUGUUGAGGACUUUUAGAGUAAAAUGUUAAAGUUGUGGUGUUGAAUUUUAGAAGAUUAACACUAGCUAGUGUAAACAGCAUUCUCUGGCCGGUGUAAAUACACAGAGUUACCCUUUUGAGUGUUAUUAGUCACAUCCGGGACAUUUGCUGGUGUACGCACCUGACCCAUCUGAAAUAUUUUUCACAAAUGCCAUUUUCUUUGCUCGAGGUGCGGAGCAUUUAAGGGCGGAAAACGGUGAAAUAAAGUGUUUAAUCUUACUCACAAAAUGUGUUUGUAAUGUCAUAUUUUAUAACUAUUUAUUUGCUGUGUGCACAAACUUUUUUCUCAACGACAUUUCCUUUCAUUCGC